AGCAGCCGCGGUAAUUCCAGCUCCAAUAGCGUAUAUUAAAGUUGUUGCAGUUAAAAAGCUCGUAGUUGAACUUCAGGCCUGUCCAGAUGGUCCGCCUUAAUUGGUGUGUACUGUCCUUGGGUGGGUCCUACCUUCUGGCGAAGCGGCAUGGCCUUAAUUGGUUGUGUCGGGGAAGCAGGACUUUUACUGUGAAAAAAUUAGAGUGUUCAAAGCAGGCAUAUAUGCUCGAAUACAUUAGCAUGGAAUAAUGGAAUAGGACGAUGGUUCUAUUUUGUUGGUUCUAGGACCGUUGUAAUGAUUAAUAGGGAUAGUUGGGGGCAUUAGUAUUCAAUUGUCAGAGGUGAAAUUCUUGGAUUUAUUGAAGACUAACUACUGCGAAAGCAUUUGCCAAGGAUGUUUUCAUUAAUCAAGAACGAAAGUUAGGGGAUCGAAGACGAUCAGAUACCGUCGUAGUCUUAACCAUAAACUAUGCCGACUAGGAAUCGGGCGAUGUUGACAAAAUGACUCGCUCGGCACCUCAUG
rnacentral:rRNA from 1 species